AUACUCUGGUUUCUCUUCAGAUCGUAUAAAUCUUUCGCCUUUUACUAAAGAUUUCCGUGAGAGGAACAAGCACGGAUGUCGUCGGAAUUUUUUGAGGCUCCGCUUCGCGGAGCU
rnacentral:snRNA from 1 species